ACUCCUACGGGAGGCAGCAGUGGGGAAUAUUGCACAAUGGGCGCAAGCCUGAUGCAGCCAUGCCGCGUGUGUGAAGAAGGCCUUGGUUGUAAAGCACUUUCAGCAGUGAGGAAGGCGGAGUCGUUAAUAGCGGCCUCGUUGUACGUUAGCUGCAGAAGAAGCACCGGCUAACUCCGUGCCAGCAGCCGCGGUAAUACGGAGGGUGCGAGCGUUAAUCGGAAUUACUGGGCGUAAAGCGCAUGCAGGUGGUUUGUUAAGUUCAGAUGUGAAAGCCCGGGGCUCAACCUCGGAAUAGCAUUUGAAACUGGCAGACUAGAGUACUGUAGAGGGGGUA
rnacentral:rRNA from 1 species